rnacentral:rRNA from 1 species
UACGAAGGGGGCGAGCGUUGUUCGGAUUUACUGGGCGUAAAGGGCGCGCAGGCGGCUUUGUUUGUCAGGCGUGAAAGCCCCGGGCUUAACCUGGGAACUGCGUUUGAUACGGCAGGGCUAGAGUUCGGGAGAGGGGAGUGGAAUUCCCAGUGUAGAGGUGAAAUUCGUAGAUAUUGGGAAGAACACCGGUGGCGAAGGCGGCUCUCUGGACCGAUACUGACGCUGAGGCGCGAAAGCGUGGGGAGCAAACAGG